CUCGGAGAGGCUGAAAGCGGCAAACACAGCGGCGGCCUGAGAACAUCGGUGUUUUGAAUGUCUUCAAAUUACUAGAAACUUCUGAACAGGGCUUUGGAGAUUGUAUACCAUACCAUCCAAAUGGUGCUGGUGCUAACCAUGCAAUGGGGACCGGAGGAGAAUGCCACCAACAGCUCUGGCCCUGUGUGUACAACAAUUGUCCUCACAGCCCAAACCUCGACUCCGUGUGGCACAGUCUUGCACCGUGAUAAAACUGUUGAAGCUGGGUUGUUUUUAUUUUGAGGACAACGAGAACUGAUAUAAAGCCGAGUACUAGUUAACUAGAGAACAGCUCGACAGUAGAAAAUAGUUCCACACUUCUGCUUCACCAGACCCUUCCUUACUGACCGUCUCCCGAUCACUGAGCAAAGUUCUUUUUGGAAUUAUGAUGUCAUCAGAAUCAUUCAGCUGUCAAAAAUAGUUUUCCAUCCAGCAAAGAGAUAAAUAAUGUUGACGAACUUUGGUUUGUGAGCAUUUGUGCUAAUUAACCAUGGAUGGAAACCAAAGUUUCAUGCAUGAAAAAAUGCCAGAGAACUGAAUGUUUUCUUCAGGAAUAGUUGUGUAAAAAUA